ensembl:lncRNA
GUGGGAGAAAAGUGAUCCCAUGAAAAUAAAUUAGGGUUAAAUCAUUUUUGGGCCCUCAUAUGGCAGCCUUGUUGCUCUGCAGAAGCAGAAUGGAUGUGGUGGAACAUCUCAGGUAGAUUUUGCUGAUCUCUAAGAGAUCACAGAAUCAAAAAAUUGUAGGGAUUGCAAGGGAUCUCUAGAGACCAUGGAGUCCAACCCUCUGCUAAAGCAGGUUGCGCAGGUAGGCAUCCAGAUGGAUCUUGAAUUUGUCCAGAGAAGGAAACUCCACAGCCUCUCUGGGCAGCCUGUUCCAGUGCUCUGUCACUCUGACAAACAAAUUCUUCAGUAAACAAAUUCUUCUUGUGUUAGUGUGUUCCCAUUUGUGCCAGUUGCCCCUUGUUCUAUUGCUGCAUACCACAAAUAAGAGUCUGACCCAUGGACUUGACUCUCACACUUCAGAUAUUUAUAAGCAUUGAUAAGAUCCUGUCUCAGCCUGCUCCUCUCCAGGCUGAACACAGGUGUCUCAGCCUUUUCUCACAAGGGAGAUGCUCCAGGUGUUUAACCAUCUUCGUGGCCUCCACUGGACCCUUAAAUGGAUGGAUGAGGAGUUGUAUAUGGUUGAAAUAACCCUGCAGGUGUUUCACCCCUGGAGUCCUGACAAAACUCUUCCUUGACUUUCAGCUGCACUCAGCUGUUACAGUUUUUGUGCUCCUUUAUCACGACUGCAACCCUUCAAACAAGAAGACCUUUCAGCAUGACAUAGGUGCUACAUCUGAAGCUGUAUUCAAAGACCUUUCCAGUUAGCUGUGGCAGGGUUUCCCAGUAUGGAAAGUCUCUCUGAGAAGAGGGCUGAAGAGGAAAAUGUUAUGUGGGACAGGGUCCUCUGUUAGUAAAUCUAAUUUUGUUUAUAUAACGCGGAAAAUCUUGUCUCUGUGUACAAAGCAAGAACAGAAGAGUUACUAAGAUUUACGUAGGCUAAAUGCUUCCUGUUGGUACUUUAAAGAAUACAGUGGUAGUCUUAAAAUAAUGUACCAGCUCAAGAAGUUCUUUAAAUAGCACAAGGAAUGUGCCCAGCUCUGAGUCCACCAGCAACAACACAGGAAGAGGAAAGCUAGAGGUCAGAGGAGACUUUUGGUAGCAGGAAUUAUAGUGGGAUGAUUUGUUCCUCCAAGUGUUACCAAGUGUUUGACCCUGAUAUAAAGAGACUCUCAGUAAUAAAGAGGACAGCCCCAGGAUGGGUUUUACUCUCCUGAUUAUGGUGACCUUCUGUGACAUGGACAGAAAACACACACUCACUGUUGGUGGCAAAGUGCAUGUAUGGCUUUAAGAGUACGCUGCCAGAGAAAUAUUCAGAAAGCAGAAAGCAGAACAGCAAGCUGCAGAAAGGGGCAAUGCAGGAAAACUGUUUGUCUUGCUGUUUUGCCUGAAUGCAGUGCUCCAGCGGCAAAAAAGAAUGUAUUGGUGAAAAGGUAAUUCUGGUUACUUUGUAAAAGGAAUUUUCCUGAUGAACUCAGAGCAUUGAGCUUCGGGAUCUUUCACAUGCUGGGCAGAAAUAUUCUUGCUAUCAGAGAUUAUAGUUCAAUUUUACAGCUACAACAGUAUUUCAUAUUAUUGGGCAAAAGCCCUAUUCCUGACACUGAUAUCUCACUGCUGUUAACAAUACCACUGAGACCAACUCCCUCUCCUUUGCCUAUUGAUUCUUAUGGGUGUUGCCUCACAGAAUUAGCUGAUAAUCUCAUUAUAGCUAAUCCUGUUUGCUUCUUUUAUGAAACAACCUUGAAGUGACUGACUGAGCUCCUUUUGUUCCUAUUUCUCUUCUCCCUUAGUUAUUUCAGAGAUGUUCUCUGGGAAACAUGAACUCUCUGUGCAAACCCUUAUCCCGUUUAGCAGCUAUAGUUCCAGCCUCAUCAAAUUAAUCUCCUUGCCCAACCAACAAGUAUUUUCUUUUUGAGCCAUGCAGCAAAAAAGUAUUAUCUGUAUCUCCUUUGCAUUCCAUUCAACAGAGUGUUCUGUGCCGAAGCAAUUAAAGUUUCUCAAAUUCUAUUUCAGGUUUACAUAAUCCUUUAUGCCUUUAAAAAGUGGUCCCCUUUACAAGGUUUCUUUACAGGCAUUAAAAUACAGAUGGCCCAUAAAACUCCAAUUAUGUGCUAAUAUUUUUGGCACUUGGAUACUAAGGUGCCUAAUAAGGUGAUAUCACUUAAUCCAAGAUAUUCCUACAACAUGACUAAUCAUAAUUAUACAUUUGGUAAUGUGCAGCUGUUAAUGAAGUUACUAACAGCAUGGAAAGGUUGUUGAGGUGAGUACAAGCAUUAGAAGCAUGCACACCCUAAGCAUAACUCCAAACAGAAGUUUAAGAAGGUGAGAACCACCUACCUGUUUAUUUUGCCUUGUGCUAAUUAUAUUCAACAAUAGUAUGUCUGACUUGAAGAGGAUUUCCACAGACAUGCUUUGUGUUUUUUGUUUUCCUAAUUCAGUGCUUGCAGUAAGUGCUAAAGAAAUGGAAGUCUUUAUUUUUUGCAGAUAUGACUUAGUGAAUAAAACCAUUGCCCGAGGUUUUUGUUUGUUUGUUUGUUUUUAAAUCAGAUAAUCCUCUUCUGGAAUGAUGACUUUCAAAAGUAGAGAAGAUACUUUGGUACACCCUAUUCAGCACAACAGAUCUGGGAGGUGAAGAAGGCUCAUGAGUUUACUUCUGAUUUCUUUUACACAGCUAUAAAAACUAUGAUUUAGUUAUAUAGUAAUUCUUCAUUGUUUUUUGGUCUCAGAAUUUCUGCACUAAAUGAGGCAAGGAUUGUAGGAGAAAGUUAUGCCUUAUUUUAAUUCAUCCUGGAAAGAACAGAUAAGCCUCCAGGGUGUGUACCAAAAUUAGUUCCACUCAAAAAUCUUGCCUUCAAACUUUGGACCAAGAAGUACACAACAAUGCUAAAGCUAAAUAUGCCUCAGUUACAUUGUACAUGGGGAAAUAAUUUCAUCACAGUUACACAAGCUGCAGUUCCAUUACUAAACAGCAUCUCAGGAUUGCCUGUCCAGAACUGCCAUGUAAGGCAAGGAGUGUUGUUCAUUCCUUAUGAUUAUAUUGCGUUCAGGAACACCUUGGUCAGGAUCCACUGAACAGACUAUCCCUGCCAGGAAAAUUUCCACUUUAAGUAAGAAAAAUUGUCUGAAUUCUGGCAACGCAGAAGUACUCUGAUUCUUUGUGAGAGGGAAGGGAAAAGGUGUGAGCACAGACAUAGCAAACAAAUUUACGAGGACAGUUCAGCACCUACAUAUUAGGUGCAUGUAUCUGUACCAUGUUACCAACAAGAACUUCUACAACAGAGUCAUUUGCCAUAUAGCUGUCUAGAUAUUUAAAGUAUCUCCAUCUCUGACUUUAACAUUUUGGCUUCUGAAGAUUUUGUCAUUAGGUAUUAGGCUUCUGCACUGAGCUUCAACUCAAAAGUCAUAUAGAAGGUAAAUGCAAAUGGAAGAUUUGGGUUUGAUUCCUACCCAAGUUAAUUAAACAGGAAAGAAUUUUAAUUCAACUUUACCAUAUCCCAGAUGAAUGUCCUAGUCACUGUCACAUGAAACAUUCAUGCUGGUAUUUUUCAGACACUUCAAGCUUUUCUGCUUCCCACAGAACACAGAAAUACUGCUUGGGGCAGGGACAGGAACCCCUGUGCUUCAAAAUAAUACCUUAAGCAUCAAGGCAGAAGCAGUUUUAUCUUUCUUGCCUGAAAACAAUUUCAGUAAUUCAUCUGGAAAGGGUUAAUUUCCCCAGGAGAAGCAGAAAAAAAAUACCUUAUUUGACAACAGAGCACUUGUAGGGAAGAUUUGGUCUCAGAUUUGAACUAGAGAUCUCAAGUCACAGUCUUAAUGCUUUAGUUAACAUGCUAUGAAGCUUUAACAGAGAAGAGUUUUUCAUGAGAGGAGCUGAUGUGGACACAAAAGGAUCCAGAGGAGGUGCACAUACUCGGAUGCUCCUCAAGUAACAGGAAACCCAUGUCCCACUGAGUGGUACCAGUGCUGGGAGAUAGGAGUUGUGAUACAACCUAGUAAAUACACAUCCUGCUGUUGUUUCCUCUCAAUCAGCUCAACACACUCCUAGCUUGGUGUGCUGGCUUCUAGGAUGCCAGUUAUUAAGUCUGUCAUUGGCAAGAGAUGAUGUGUGAGGCACUUGGGUGUUUAGCUAGAGGCUGCUAUUUCUGUCUAGGCAAAGACAGACUCACACAGUACUAAUGCUGAGUGUUGUUGUACUCACCCUUGGUGAUGUUCCCAAAGAUUUACUGUCAUGGAAACAUAAAAGUGAGCCCAGAACUCCUAAUUCCCAUUCUAGUGUCUUGCUCUCUACGAGAUGCUUUUCUACCAACCUGUUGCCCUGUGGAAAUGAUUCUUAAACUAGGAGAGGCAGAUUUACUAUCAAGUAUCCUGUAGUGGUGACAAUGUGCAAUAAUGUACAAUGAGAAUCCAUUAGAAUUGAACCUGUUACAAUGGCAUAGGAAGUGCUCCAAGAACUUACCAGUAUUGUUUUCUCUCCUUUAAGAUGAGAGCAGAAUGCUAGCAGAGCAUAUUUCCUGGAUACUUUAUGAUGUUGGCAUGGGAGGUGAAGAUUUUCCAGAUAACUUCUUUACUUCUGCUUCCUUUCUUCCUAAUGCUGGGCUUUUUAUCUCAUCUUGGUUUACUUUUACCUGUAGAAGUCUUGCAAAGCUCUGCACAGUCUUACAGCUUGGUAGCAGUGUCAAGGAAACACUGGAACAUCCUUUCCAACUCAGCCCUGGGAGACAAACACUUUGAGAUGCACUUUGAUGUGCAGCUUUGAAGUAGAACUUGGUUCGGAGCUCUGCAAGAGGGCUUUCUAAAGUCUUCUGUACUGCUAGUUUUGAAACAAUGACUCCACAGAGCAUUUCAGAAUAGAGUUACAUUUUAAUCGCAUUGUCAAGUUUAUCCUUAUUCAACAAGGAAACCUCCUGUACUCGACUUAAACUUACUUACACAAUUUGCUGAACCAGCCCUCUAAAGAUGACCUGCUUCUUCUUCACAGCACUCUAUUUUCUACCUUUUAGCUACAAUCCUAGCACAUCCACAGCAGGGAGUAUGACCCUGACACCGUGUCCUAAGAUUACAAACAGUAGAAUUGGAGAUAAAAACAUUCUGAAGAUAAAUUCUAAGUCAUCUCUUCCUCUUAAGGGUUAAAUUAGACCUACAGUAGCAAUCCCACUCUGCGGAUAGGCAUAGUCAGACACAGAUAUACAGACAGAUACACCAAGAAGGGGCAUUCAUGCUUUUUUUCACUUAAUAGGACACAUAGGGUUUGGGUUCUUUCCCUUUACGGGAAUUCUUACAGACUUCAAGACGCGACAUUGAUGAGAGCAUGCUGUCUCCUGCCUAAACAAUUGCAAAUGAUUUUAUUAAGAAAGAGAAAUCUUGGAAAAGCAUCUGCUUUAAUAAACAAUUUCUCUUUCUUAUCCUGACAUAAUAGGUGCUGACAAGAAAGGAGCACGGAAGUCUUAUCUUCCAUGAGGCAUCUCACAGUAUCUGACAGUUGCAUUCAGAGUUGUGUUUGGGCUGGAAUUUUCAAAGGAGUGCAAAGAUGCAGGUACUCAAAUUCCAUGUGAAUUGGAGCCUUAGUUCUUGAGGUGCUCUGAAGCUAAGACUUACUCUGCUGCAAGAAAUACUCUAUGCUGCAGAGAGACAAGACAUUGUUAAUCCAAACUGCAGUGAGACAAAUACAGGAUGACAUGCACAUCAGAGCCAUGCUAAUUAAGUUUAUGAAAUCUAUGCUGGUUUACUCAGGGAAGACAAUCAAAAAAUGGUUUAAUGGGAAUAAGUUUUAUGGUGUGUGAUACCAUGGGCAUGGAAAGAGAGUUAUCAGUCCCAGGCAUCCUCUAAGGGCUAUAAUAAAAGAAGGGAAGAUGCCCAAGUCUACUUCUGCUUCUUAGGAAGAAGUAUCACUAGCUCUUUUAGCAGCAAGAAUGCUGGAAGAAGGUCAAGGAGGAGGAAAUUAUGUCUCACUGUAUCUCCACUGGUAUUUUGUCAAGACACUGAAAUUACAUUAUCAGCUUUUAUUGGUUUUGAAGCUAACAUUAAGCAAACUGUCCAUAUCUCCAGCUGAUGAGACAGCUAAUGUAUUAGGAAUGAAUAAAUGUGCUCUCACAAAAAAAAAAAAAAAAAAAAGUGCCAACAACAUAAAAUCAUAGAAUCAAAAAGAUGAAUUCCAGGCUGAUUGUGAUAUAGUCUCCAACAAGCUUGCCAAAUGUGACACCAAAAUAGUGGUGGAUGGCUGGGAUACCAAAGUAGAAUAGAAAGACGGAGAAGACAGUGAAAGAGAUCUAAUGUUUAUGAUGUAAAAAUCAACAAUGACAUGAGAUUCAUUGAUUUUGUAACAGUUAAAGACACAGCUGAAUAGCACAGAAAAUUUCUUAAAAAUGGUCUCAGGCAUUGAUGUCUAUCUACAGAGGUAACCCCUAUGAAUCAGAUUACAUAUUUUGUCUCAAGACAAAGGCUGGAAAGAAUUAAUCAUGGAGUGGUAGUACAAAAGUGACAAGGAAAUUCAGUAGACACAUUAUAGAUCACAAGGUCCUGGAGAUAUAUUAAAGAAGCAAGCUGGAAAGAUAAUCCAGGAGAAUUCCAAGUAUAAGAGACAAGGCACUGCUUGCAAGCAUGUGGGAAAGUAGAUGGAGACAGUCGUGCAACAAUAAGAAUGUAACUUUUGGUCUGGUGUCAUGCAAAAUGUGACAAAGCCAAAAAAGGGCAUAUGGUAUUUAGGUCUUGCAUAUAUGCAGAGUUUGCAGGAUUUAGUGGAUGAAAUGGAGCAAGAGAAAAAUGUAUGUAAUGUGAGAGCCUUUCACAGGGAGAGUAUGAACUGUGAGUGUGAAAAACGACAGAAUGCAAGAAUGCAGUUAUGGGCAGUGGGAGGGAACACUUCAAUGACUUUUUUAGUACAGAUAGUUGAGCUGUUUGUAGAACAACAACAACAAAAAAAUCAGAGAUUUAAGAGGCAAUUGGAAUUCUCAGAAACAACAAAGGACAGAAUGUUGGGAGUUUAAGAACUGAAUUACUGAAACCAAAAAGAUGAUGGAAAGGUCUUUAUUGGACAGUGAUAUAGGAUAGUUUAAGGAUCAUGGAAACUGACUUUGUUGGAAUGAAAAUAGUUUCUCCAGCAUUUUUUAAAAAGUGUUGAGAUGAAUUAUAAUAAGGAUCAUAACAUUUCUGUGCUGUACAGUUUAUAAAUUCCUGUUUGUGACAUUUUAUAC